rnacentral:rRNA from 1 species
CCUACGGGAGGCAGCAGUGGGGAAUAUUGGACAAUGGGGGGAACCCUGAUCCAGCCAUGCCGCGUGUGUGAAGAAGGCCCUCGGGUUGUAAAGCACUUUCAGUGAGGAAGAACGCCUGGUGGUUAAUACCCAUCAGGAAAGACAUCACUCACAGAAGAAGCACCGGCUAACUCCGUGCCAGCAGCCGCGGUAAUACGGAGGGUGCGAGCGUUAAUCGGAAUUACUGGGCGUAAAGCGCGCGUAGGUGGCUUGAUAAGCCGGUUGUGAAAGCCCCGGGCUCAACCUGGGAACGGCAUCCGGAACUGUCAAGCUAGAGUGCAGGAGAGGAAGGUAGAAUUCCCGGUGUAGCGGUGAAAUGCGUAGAGAUCGGGAGGAAUACCAGUGGCGAAGGCGGCCUUCUGGACUGACACUGACACUGAGGUGCGAAAGCGUGGGUAGCAAACAGGAUUAGAUACCCCGGUAGUC